GAUGAACGCUGGCGGCGUGCUUAACACAUGCAAGUCGAACGGUGAACGAGGGAGCUUGCUCCCUCCGGAUCAGUGGCGAACGGGUGAGUAACACGUGAGCAAUCUGCCCUGGACUCUGGGAUAAGCGUUGGAAACGACGUCUAAUACCGGAUACGAGGCGUGGGGGCAUCCCCAACGCCUGGAAAGAACUUCGGUCCAGGAUGAGCUCGCGGCCUAUCAGCUAGUUGGUGAGGUAACGGCUCACCAAGGCGACGACGGGUAGCCGGCCUGAGAGGGUGACCGGCCACACUGGGACUGAGACACGGCCCAGACUCCUACGGGAGGCAGCAGUGGUGAAUACUGCACAAUGGGCGCAAGCCUGAUGCAGCAACGCCGCGUGAGGGACGACGGCCUUCGGGUUGUAAACCUCUUUUAGCAGGGAAGAAGCGAAAGUGACGGUACCUGCAGAAAAAGCACCGGCUAACUACGUGCCAGCCGCCGCCGUAACAC
rnacentral:rRNA from 1 species